rfam:Acidobacteriales bacterium 13_2_20CM_55_8 13_2_20cm_scaffold_380, whole genome shotgun sequence.
CAGCCGGACCGGACGGUCGCUCUCGCCGCGUCAAGUGGUGGGAGAGGAAAGUCCGAACUCCGCAGAGCAGUGUGCCGGAUAACGUCCGGGAAGCCGGGUUCAAGCCCGGUUGACGGAAAGUGCCACAGAAAACAUACCGCCUUGGUGGCAACAUCAGGGUAAGGGUGAAAAGGUGCGGUAAGAGCGCACCGCUGCCGCAGUAAUACGACAGGCAAGGCAAACCCCACACGGAGCAAGACCAAAUAGGGAGGGAGCCUCAAGUUCGCUUGAGCGCGUGCCGGCUCGGCGCGUUUCACCUCCGGGUAGGUCGCUUGAGCUUCGCAGCGAUGCGUGGCCCAGAGGAAUGACCGUCCUGUGGGAGCAAUCCCGCGGACAGAAUUCGGCUUAUAGGCCCGGCUGCCAU